UCUAUAUUUUACUUACAUUAACCUGCCCUUGUCCUCUCUCUCUCUCUCCCUCUCUCCCUCUGUUCUCCUUGUUGAAUGAGUGUGUCCUUCAAGUUCGCUGAAUUGGCCCUUGGUCAUAAAGCUUCUCCCUGAUGCUGGAGUCUUUGUCUCUGUUUCUGUAUGCAGCGCUGCACGUGUCACAGCUAUUCCCACUGGUCAGCUCCACACUGUGAUGGGGACGACCCUCUGAGACGCCAAAGAACUGCUGAGAAGAAUACAAAACGAGAGAGAAAGAGAGAGAGAGAACCCAGUAGAACUGCCUGCGGUUUACACAUACAUGGAUGGCAGGAGUGGAGAUUACCACCAGGCGAAGACAUACUGAUGGCAGAGGGAAAUACAGAAGAGGGGGGGAAAUCAGCAGAACCAUAUUUUCAGCAUCUGGGUACAGGUUUGUAGAGGAACAGCAGUAAUGUAAUCUAGCAGCAAAAGCCCUAUCUGGACAGGAUUAGUUUCUCAGGGGAACGUCUGUGAAAAAAUAUUUCACACUUCUACUCAGUGAUAAAACUCUUGCAUCUGGACUGCAAUUGAAAAAAAACAGUAGGACCAGUGAGUUUUUUGGGCUUUCUUGGUCACAUGACAUCGCGUUCAGUAGCUCCUCCAUUUCCACUCGCUGUUGUGUUUACAUGGAUCUCCAUGGAAAUGCGAACCCAAAGUGACUUCACUAUCCAAUCGGUACAGGCAGCUCCUACGGAUAGUGAAUCAAAUAUUUAGGAGGGAGAGCACAUCAGAUUCAAUAUCACCGCAUUUAAAACACCUCUAUAGACAUUUUCUGUGUAUAAACUUAAGAGAUAGAAGUGAAGAUAAAAAAAACACACAUAAGCCUGAAACACACAUCUGCUGUCUGUUGCUUGUUGUUU
ensembl:lncRNA